AUUUUUGAAGGAUAAUAGCUCAUCCAUUGGUCUUAGGAACCAAAAACUCUUGGUGCAAAUCCAAGCAAAAAUA
rnacentral:tRNA from 2 species